rnacentral:rRNA from 1 species
UACAGAGGUCCCGAGCGUUGUUCGGAUUCAUUGGGCGUAAAGGGUGCGUAGGCGGCUUUCUAAGUCUGAUGUGAAAUCCUGGGGCUCAACCCCAGAACUGCAUUGGAUACUGGAAGGCUAGAGUACUGGAGAGGAAACUGGAAUUUACGGUGUAGCAGUGAAAUGCGUAGAGAUCGUAAGGAAGACCAGUGGCGAAGGCGAGUUUCUGGACAGUAACUGACGCUGAGGCGCGAAAGCUAGGGGAGCAAACAGG